CCCUGGUCCUUUGCACCCGUUCUCAUAGAUGCAGGUCAUUGCGCUCGAUCCCCUCACAGCCCUGACACAAUGCCAGGUCUCUGCACACUGAACACCGAGCAAUGAGGUCCACUGCCAAAGAACAUCAACAUCCGAGUUCAGACUUGGGCGACGGGUUGAGUCGGAUAGGGUGGACUCAAGACGCCCAGGCCGCAACAAUAGAAACCCUCAAUGCGACACAAAACACAAUGUGGCACGUAAGUGCCCAACGUCCAUCGUUUGGACCACGCGUUUGUCUCCCGCUUCCACAAAACAUUCUGGCCAUCUGGAUCCAACAGGAAACUGGUUUGCAACAAGCUCGUUUUGUCGCCGUCUCUCAGCAGCCAUCUUUGAUUCGUGCAUUGACGUGCGGCAGCGGGGCACAGUGGAUUCGGCGCCACGCUCUGAUGUCACGACUUUCCGUUACAGUCUAGCAAAUGGUGCAUUUACAACCCGGUGCUGAACAAACUCAUCCAGUGGUGCUAACACUUCACUUUUGGGGCUUCCCAAGGAGCAACAAAAGCAAGACGGCCCCAAAACAACAACAACAUGUAUGCUCAAAAGCGCCAGCACCUCAAUCGAAACACACACACACACACACACACACACUCUACCACACAACUCUCUACGGUGCCAUUUUGAUUUGCCACGGCGGGUCUGCGCACGGUGUUGCGUCCAGUUGCUUUUGUUUGUUUGUUUUUAUCCGGGACACAGAACUGCGAUAUUUUGGAGCACAAACUGCAGAUGGAAAUAACAUUUAAAAAAAAGCAAAACAAGUCUAUAUAUAUCGAAUGUGAUUGAUGUGUUGUAGCUUCCUGUCAUCAAUAUGUCCUUUUCUCUGUGCGUAUCUCUUUCUUUUGUUCUGAUUGUAGACUUGGCUGUGACAGUUGACCGGAACGUGGACUUGAUAUUGCAACCGAGCAACGACGGGUGUCACGUCAAUUGCUGCUAAUUUACAAAUCGUUAUGGCAAAAGGUUGCUUUUCUUGAUAUUCCCUCAAUUUCUAGGUUGUGUUAGCUUGUGGGUGUGUAUUUAAAUAACCUCUGGGUUAUGUAUGAUUUUUAUGGAUUACAAAAAAAAAAAAAAAGGCACAUAGUUGGGAUUUCUUUGUAGUGGUUACGUAUUAUAAAACAUGAGUAAAUCAUUCAUGGGGAAGAGGAGAAAAAAAACGAAAUAAGCAAGGCUGAUGUCCAGUAUUGUACCUUUUUGCCCUGUUUUAGGGAACAAUAUGAAUAUAAUAACAUAUGGUGCUAAUGUUCAUUUUGUAUGGUUUUUGUUUUAGAGGAAAUGACAACUAUUACGCUGAAAAUAUCAUGUUAAGCCUUACUGUAGAUUCAUAUAUGAGACUGUUCAUCCCAGAGGAGAAAAAAAUAAAUAUGAUAUUUGAAAGUGCAA